UAAAGCAACAUCAAGACGACGUGGAAGAUCGAUGCGGGUAAAUCCUAUCGGGUAAAGAUCAACGUUACCUACUCGCAACUGGAGAACUCUGCUGGCUGUCAAAAUGACUACGUAGAAGCGUUCGACGGGUCGGAUGCCAAAGCUACUUCUCUUGGACGUUGGUGUGGAGGAACUGAACCAAACAAAACCAGUUCAGGAUCUUUAAUGUUCUUGAAAUUCAAGUCAAAUUCCCAAGUAGUCGACAGAGGAUUCAUUAUCAAGUAUACGGCAGAGUACAUAAGAACAAGCGAUUCGAAAGACUCAACCGGAAUAGUUGUUGGAGGUUCUGUGGCGGGAGUAGUUUUACUAUUCGGUCUAUUGGGGCAAUCUGUAGUGUUGAAAGAAAACCUGAUGGCGACACGACUGCUUCCUUUGGUGGAGGUUUAACUGCGGAAAGUGUGUCAUUUAAAUCUAUCAAACCAUUAAAUGAAUAACUUAACGCUGGUAUCCAGGCAAAACAUUGCAGCUCAAAAGCGCUUUGAGCCAUGGACACUGAUUAGUCCAUAGGCGUUGCCGAACAAAUCUUUACUCUUCGGCAGUGAUCUAAAACUGCUUAGUUCAUUUGUCGAUCGGCGUUUUGGUGGUAAAUUAUUCCACCGAUGUGAGCCAGUUGUAUGAGAGGCUCGAUCACCAUUUGUUUUUGUAAAGGAUUUGGAUACUUGAAGAUGAUUCUGAUGUCUUGAUGUUAGUAAUCAUAAAGGUUCAUAAGUCUGCAAUGAUCAUGAAGAUAAGCCGGUGCCUGUCCAUUCAGAGACUUGGCUACAAUACUGAGAACUUUGAAAGGGAUACGUUCUGUCGUUCUGUCAGUCAAAAGAAUGCCCUCAACAUUCCCUGGGAUAUGAAAUCGAAUCUCCUACCCAUUUAUUUCAGCAGUAUUACAGCUGAUAGAGCAUGUGUUUAUGAAUCACUAUCAAAUAAUGAUAACACCAGGCGUUCACGAAAAGGUGGGCAUAUCCUUCGACACCCGUGGAACCGUCAUAAAUAUAUGCAAAGUCAAGUAAAUUGUUCAAAUAAAUAAAAUUGGGAAUAUAAAGAGCAUACCCUAUUGGAUCUCAAAAGUUGUGAAAUGUGAACACCAAGCCUAUUGGACUGUAGCCACACAUGCUAUGCUUUGCAGGACCAUGUUACGAAUUAACACCAGGCGAGAUAACUCUUGAUGUAGUAAGGUUCAUUCUUAAGUCUACAAGAGUUGCCUCCCAUAUUGAGCACUUUACUACAUAAUGAAACACCUUUUUUGAAAAUCUAUUAUCAGUAUUAGGAAACAAAGAUUUUCUAACAAAAUUCUGGGAAAAUGUAUAAUGGAGUGAGUGAGUGGUUUUACACUAACACCGCCGAUAUAUACUUGACAUGAAUUGACUUCAAAUAAAAUACUGUAUUUCGUGA